rnacentral:lncRNA from 1 species
GAAGGGAAAUUAAUUUCUAACUCAUUUAAUUAAAAUCAAACACAGACACACAGUAACACACCAACACGCAACAUUCAAUAGAAUAGAACAAACAAUUCAAGCAAAAAAAAAAAGUUUAAUCAAUUGAUGGAUAUUAACUCCGAUGAUGAUGACUCCGGCGCCUCCUUGAUCGGCUCCAAGUCAGGUUUCCACAAUGAUCCCUGUCGAAGAAGCCCCAUCGGAGUCGGAUUUUCAUCCCUGAACCUACACUGAUUCAUUCCAAUACCAUUGCUAAUACCACUAGCAGUCCCUACGACACGCGUUUCGAUCUCGGUUUUACUGUCGUAGGCGACGGCGGAGAGCUUUCUGGCAAGAACCACCUGAUCCAGCAGCGUGACGUCGUCGUCGAACACGGAUUUGGGGAGAAGGAAGUAAAGUCUGUUACUUUGAAGAUGUUCUUGGAGAUGAAGCGGUUUGAAACCCACGGAGUAUUGCGGGGCCAAUAAGCAUAAGACCAUCUUCGGAGGUGUGCCGGUCAAAUCACUUACCUUCACCGGUAGCGAUUCAGGAGUGAUUCUGUUAUCUGCACAGACGAAUUCCUCGACGUAUCCCGUCACAUCGACGACUCGUGCUCCGUUAAUUGCCGGAGGUUCUUCCGACGACCGUGAAUAGCGACAACCCAUGAUUGAAAGUCGAGUUCUAGGAAAGUCGAUCUCUGAGAAAGUCGAUCUUCCCAGGAGUUAACUUGGGACCUUCCCAGGUGUCUCAGCUCAUUUUGGGCUAUCCGGACUUUUAUAUGCUGGUGCGUUGUGACCAAGUUCGGGAUACUGUAUCACCAAUGAAAAAAUCAAGAACCUACUCAGUCAACAAGAUCUCCUCAGCAAACAUUUGGCACAGGAGGCUAGACCAUCCAUCAUUACUUAGAUAUGAUUUAAUUAGAAAAAUAGACAAUUCAAUUUCUAAAUUAGAUGAUGUCUUUGUUGGAUCGUGAUCAGAGACUAUAAGGGACUUAACAGCCUCUUUCUGCGUAAUGCAGAUAGUUACGAAAGAUAUGUAAAAACACUCAAUAAUACAAUGGCAAUUUGAUAGUAAUAAUAUAAUAUUGAUCACAAAAUAAUAUUAUUACAUAGGUUAAGUGAAAAAUAUUAUAUUAUAAUAUUAUAUGUAUAUUGCUUUGUAAAAAAUAACAAGUCUCUUUAAGUACCUGAUAACAGGUUGAGGACUUAAAGUAAAUAACAUGAAAGUAAAUGACCUCUUUGAGCACCUGAUAACAUGUCGAGGACUUUGAAGUAAUAUUAAAAUAAAUAAAUAAAUAUAAUAGAUAGGUUAAAAUCGAAUGUGACAUAAAAUAAUAGUAAUCGAUUUUAUGUUAAAUGAUAGCUAGAAAUUUUAACUUAAAGCAAUGAACACAAUGAGAUUUAUACUGGUUCAAUCCAAACGGACCUACGUCCAGUCUCGUAAAAUUAUCUCACGAAAUUCACUAGUAUAAAAAUAUUGGCAAAACCUACCAGAACUUUUACAUGCUACAACACUCAAGAACCUCUUGUAAGCUUUCAAGGCUACAAUGCUUACGAACCUCACAAGUUUACCAAGUAAACUUGCAAAUUCCCAAGUCUUUCAAGGUAGACUUAGCACCUAAGAGUUUUAACAGGAAACUCUAUAAAACCAACUUAAAGCUUCUUGGUUCAGCUCAAUAACUUUCCUUACAUGACUUUGGUGAUCUUGAGACAACCCUCUCAACCAAAGUGAAACACACGAAAAAGAUGUAAGAUUUUAAAACAGCAACACUUCAACUUAGCUUGGAUCACUCAAUAGGAUUAGAAGAAGUGUAGAACUUUGGAACACCUUUGAGAGCAAGAGAACUUGAGCACAACUUUGGAAACGUUGGAAGCUAAAUAGCUAGCUUUUGAAAGUUGUGGAGAGGAGGAACUCAAAGUGUGGAUUGAAAAUUUGAAUAUGUCUGUUGGCCUUUUUACUUGGAAUGCACCUUUAUUUAUAGCAUUGGUCAAUUGAUUUCCACCUUUAGAUAUUCAAUCAAGGGUUCCAUGAUUUCCACCUCUAUUAAUAAGUAUGUGUUAAGACUUAAGAUAUUAUGUGCAAACAAUUUACUUAAGAUCCACAGAAUGAGUAUAAAAAAAGUUGAGGGUGUUGGGCGUAAUUAGGGGUGAGAACGGGGCGGGGUGGCCCUCGUUAUCCGCCCCAUUCCGAAAAAACGAGGCGGGUCGGAUACCCUACAUCCCAGCCCUGAGACCCGCCCCGGACCCGGUGACCGGGGCAUGAAACGGGGAAACCCGCCUGAAAUUAUAAAAAUUAUAAAAAUUAAAAAAAUUAAAAUUAUAUAUUAUAAAAAAUAAAAAUAAAAUUUAAAAUGGGUAAAUUUUUUAAGCUUAAUUUUUAAAAAUUUUAAUUUUAAUAAUCAUAUAUCUAAUAUAAUAUAAUUUAAAUUAAUAAAAAAAAAUUAAUUUUUUCAAAAACCGGGGCGACCCGUCCGGGUUUCACCUCUCCCCCGAGACCCACCCCGGAAUUUGACCGGGACAACGGAGUUGUGAGAAACGGGCCCCGUCCAUCGAGACGCAGACUGGGACGGAACCAGGACGACCUGCUUCAUUCUCACCCUUAGGCGUAAUAUUUUAAAUAAAUUUUAACGAAGCAAUUGGGCCAAUCCCAGAUGGGUCAGAAACAAUGGGCUGUAAAUUAAUUUGUAAAUAAUUUGUUAAAAGUCCAUUUGUUAUAUAAAACAAGUUGUAAUACAUAAUUAUUCAUUCAAUUGAAACUAAACUGUUUCUAAGACAACUAAUUUUGAAAAAACAGUUACUACUGUUGAGUGAGAGCCACCUCUUCCUUCACGUCUGCCCACUAUCGGUGCUCACCACUAUCGAGGUGAAGAGAUAAACUCUGGUGACCCAAGUUUAAUACCAUGGCCCAACCCACGAGUCAGGAGAUCCGACUUAUGAGAUAGCCCCAAGACUGCUGGGAGGAGGAAUAUUUUGAACCAUUACUAAAUUUUUGAUAUCUCACCUCACUAAAUUUAAAUUGAAUCUUAAUUAAUCACACCAAUACGGCAAUAAUCAAUAGAACAGGACAACACUACAAUAUAGAAGACUAAACACAAUCACCGAUGAUCUACAGAUCUUUUCACAGUUCAAGCAUUUAAUUUAUCUUUUCACAGUUCAAUGCCGUAGAUAUCUUGUUGAACAUAUUUUAUCUUAAUUUAUUUUAAAUUAAAUUAUCAUCUACACAAAAUAUUUCAUUUUUGAUAUCUCAAACUCAAUUUACAUUUAACACACCAACACGCAACAUUCAAUAAAAAAGAAUAGAACAAACAAUUCAAGCAAAAAAAAAAGUUUAAUCAAUUGAUGGAUAUUAACUCCGAUGAUGAUGACUCCGGCGCCUCCUCGAUCGGCUCCAAGUCAGGUUUCCACAAUGAUCCCUGUCGAAGAAGCCCCAUCGGAGUCGGAUUUUCAUCCCUGAACCUACACUGAUUCAUUCCAAUACCAUUGCUAAUACCACUAGCAGUCCCUACGACACGCGUUUCGAUCUCGGUUUUACUGUCGUAGGCGACGGCGGAGAGCUUUCUGGCAAGAACCACCUGAUCCAGCAGCGUGACGUCGUCGUCGAACACGGAUUUGGGGAGAAGGAAGUAAAGUCUGUUACUUUGAAGAUGUUCUUGGAGAUGAAGCGGUUUGAAACCCACGGAGUAUUGCGGGGCCAAUAAGCAUAAGACCAUCUUCGGAGGUGUGCCGGUCAAAUCACUUACCUUCACCGGUAGCGAUUCAGGAGUGAUUCUAUUAUCUGCACAGACGAAUUCCUCGACGUAUCCCGUCACAUCGACGACUCGUGCUCCGUUAAUUGCCGGAGGUUCUUCCGACGACCGUGAAUAGCCACAACCCAUGAUUGAAUGGAUAAAUAGCGGUGGAUUUCGAUUUAUACGGCUGAAAAUCCUUAAAAAAAAAUUAAAAGCAGAAAGUCCUAAAAUUCAAUAUAUAGUUUGACUAUAUUACUAAGAUGAAUCAAGAAUACCGUGAUUAAUUUUUUCUUGUCAAUUACAUAUAUAACCUUGACUGUUUUUAAUAUUAUUUUUUUUCUGUCUGUUAUAAUUUUGAACUAUUUUUACCAAAAUUGAUGUGAUAUAACAUAUAUGACCUUGAAACUUUCAAACGUAUUUAAAUCUGGACAUCCCGCCUAAACUGUC